AGUGGCGCACGGGUGCGUAACGCGUAUGCAACCUACCUUCAACUGGGGGAUAGCCCGGAGAAAUUCGGAUUAAUACCCCAUAGUAUCACCAGAUGGCAUCUGAAGGUGAUUAAAGAUUUAUUGGUUGAAGAUGGGCAUGCGUCUGAUUAGUUAGUAGGUAGUGUAACGGACUACCUAGACGAUGAUCAGUAGGGGUUCUGAGAGGAUGAUCCCCCACACUGGCACUGAGAUACGGGCCAGACUCCUACGGGAGGCAGCAGUAGGGAAUAUUGGUCAAUGGGCGAGAGCCUGAACCAGCCAUGCCGCGUGCAGGAAGACGGCCUUCUGGGUUGUAAACUGCUUUUAUCAGGGAACAAAAGGGCCAUGCGUGGCAAAUUGCGUGUACCUGAAGAAUAAGCACCGGCUAACUCCGUGCCAGCAGCCGCGGUAAUACGGAGGGUGCAAGCGUUGUCCGGAUUUAUUGGGUUUAAAGGGUGCGUAGGUGGUCAAUUAAGUCAGUGGUGAAAUCCCGCAGCUCAACUGUGGAACCGCCAUUGAAACUGGUUGACUUGAGUAUAGACGAGGUAGGCGGAAUUCAUGGUGUAGCGGUGAAAUGCAUAGAUACCAUGAAGAACACCGAUAGCGAAGGCAGCUUACUAGGCUAUAACUGACACUGAGGCACGAAAGCGUGGGGAGCGAACAGGAUUAGAUACCCUGGUAGUCCACGCUGUAAACGAUGCUCACUCGAUGUAUGCGAUACACAGUAUGCGUCCAAGCGAAAGCGUUAAGUGAGCCACCUGGGGAGUAC
rnacentral:rRNA from 1 species